CCUGGUUGAUCCUGCCAGUAGUCAUAUGCUUGUCUCAAAGAUUAAGCCAUGCAUGUGUAAGUACAGGCCGACUUAAGGCGAAACCGCGGACGGCUCAUUAAAUCAGAUAUAACUCAUUGGAUCUCUGCUGAACCGCAUUACUUGGAUAACUGUGGUAAUUCUAGAGCUAAUACAUGCCUUUGUAGUCUCCGACCGCGAGGGAGGAGCGCUUUUAUUAGACCAAAACCCUCGGCAGCCGGUUCCCGCAAGGGGCCGGCCGCACACAUCUUGGUGAAUCAGAAUAACUUUUGCCGAGCGCACGACCCCUCCCGUAACCCGGGUUGGGUCGGCGCCGCGUCCUGCAGGCGUCUGCCUUAUCAGCUCUCGAUUGUAGGUUAAACGCCUACAAUGGCUAUCACGGGUAACGGGGAAUCAGGGUUCGAUUCCGGAGAGGGAGCCUGAGAAACGGCUACCACAUCUAAGGAAGGCAGCAGGCGCGCAAAUUACCCACUCCCGGCACGGGGAGGUAGUGACGAAAAAUACUGUUGCGAGCCCCGAACGGGGCCUCGCAAUUGGAAUGAGUACACUUUAAAUCCUUGUACGAGGAUCGAGUGGAGGGCAAGUCUGGUGCCAGCCGCCGCGGUAAUUCCAGCUCCACUAGCGUAUAUUAAAGUUGUUGCGGUUGAAACGCUCGUAGUUUGACUUCUGCUCCGGACCGGCGGUCCGCCUUAGCGGCGGCUACUGCCGGGUUCCGAGCUGUGUCCCCGCCGGCGCACAUGGGGUUUUUAUGCCCUUAACCGGGUGUCCCCUUGUGGCCGGCACGUUUACUUUGAAAAAAUUAGAGUGCUCAGAGCAGGCUGGUUUUUGCUUACAGCCCGAAUGGUCGUGCAUGGAAUGAUGGAACAGGACCUCGGUUCUAUUUUGUCGGUUUUUCGGAACCCGAGGUAAUGAUUAAUAGAAGCAGACGGGGGCAUUCGUACUGCGACGCUAGAGGUGAAAUUCUUAGACCGUCGCAUGACGACCUACUGCGAAAGCAUCUGCCAAGGAUGUUUUCAUUGAUCAAGAACGAAAGUUAGAGGUUCGAAGGCGAUCAGAUACCGCCCUAGUUCUAACCUUAAACGAUGCUGACUAGCGAUCCGCCGCAGUUAUUCCCAUGACCCGGCUGGAACCAGAGUUCGAAGGCGAUCAGAUACCGCCCUAGUUCUAACCUUAAACGAUGCUGACUAGCGAUCCGCCGCAGUUAUUCCCAUGACCCGGCGGGUAGCUUCCGGGAAACCAAAGUCUUUGAGUUCCGGGGGAAGUAUGGUUGCAAAGCUGAAACUUAAAGGAAUUGACGGAAGGGCACCACCAGGAGUGGAGCCUGCGGCUCAAUUUGACUCAACACGGGGAAACUCACCAGGCCAGGACACCGGAAGGAUUGACAGAAUGAAGGCUCUUUCUCGAUUCGGUGGGUGGUGGUGCAUGGCCGUUCUUAGUUGGUGGAGUGAUCUGUCUGGUUAAUUCCGAUAACGAACGAGACUCUAGCCUGCUAAAUAGUCGACGGAUCUCAACCCCGUUGCCCCCGUUGUCGUUCGCGGCGAUGCGGGGCGCGGGUUCCCCGAAACCCGGUCGUCGUGCGGGCCUCCACCGUCGGUCGGUUAGCGCCGCCGGCGGCGCGCCCCGCGGCGCCGGAAACUGGCGUCCGCUUCGCAGUCUUCUUCUUAGAGGGAUAAGCGGCAGCAAAAAAAUAUACUAGCCGCACGAGAGUUUGAGCCAUAACAGGUCUGUGAUGCCCUUAGAUGUUCUGGGCCGCACGCGCGCUACAAUGGAGAGUUCAGCGAGCUGGCCCUGCUCCGAGAGGAGCGGGUAACCUCGUGAAAGCUGUCCUUAAAGGGGAUUGGGGCUUGCAAAUGUUCCCCAUGAACGAGGAAUUCCCAGUAGGCGCAAUUCACCAGAUUGCGCCGAUUUAGUCCCUGCCCUUUGUACACACCGCCCGUCGCUACUACCGAUUGAAUGGUCUAGUGAGGGCACCGGACUGGCGCCCUUGGAGCCGCUACCGCCUCGGCGGGCAGCGCCCUCGGGUCGACGGAAAGGUGUCCAAGCUGGGUCAUUUAGAGGAAGUAAAAGUCGUAACAAGGUUUCCGUAGGUGAACCUGCGGAAG
rnacentral:rRNA from 1 species